rnacentral:rRNA from 1 species
AGAGUUUGAUUAUGGCUCAGGAUGAACGCUAGCUACAGGCUAACACAUGCAAGUCGAGGGGCAGCAUUGGAGUAGCAAUACUUCAGAUGGCGACCGGCGCACGGGUGAGUAACACGUAUCCAACCUGCCGCUUACUCGGGGAUAGCCUUUCGAAAGAAAGAUUAAUACCCGAUGGUAUAAAGAGUUCGCAUGUUCUCUUUAUUAAAGAAUUUCGGUAAGCGAUGGGGAUGCGUUCCAUUAGAUAGUUGGCGGGUAACGGCCCACCAAGUCUACGAUGGAUAGGGGUUCUGAGAGGAAGGUCCCCCACAUUGGAACUGAGACACGGUCCAAACUCCUACGGGAGGCAGCAGUGAGGAAUAUUGGUCAAUGGACGAGAGUCUGAACCAGCCCAAGUAGCGUGAAGGAUGACUGCCCUAUGGGUUGUAAACUUCUUUUAUAAGGGAAUAAAGUGAGGGACGUGUCCCUUUUUGUAUGUACCUUAUGAAUAAGGAUCGGCUAACUCCGUGCCAGCCGCGGC